CUGGCGGCGUGCUUAACACAUGCAAGUCGAACGGAAAGGCCCUGCUUUUGUGGGGUGCUCGAGUGGCGAACGGGUGAGUAACACGUGAGUAACCUGCCCUUGACUUUGGGAUAACUUCAGGAAACUGGGGCUAAUACCGGAUAGGAGCUCCUGCUGCAUGGUGGGGGUUGGAAAGUUUCGGCGGUUGGGGAUGGACUCGCGGCUUAUCAGCUUGUUGGUGGGGUAGUGGCUUACCAAGGCUUUGACGGGUAGCCGGCCUGAGAGGGUGACCGGCCACAUUGGGACUGAGAUACGGCCCAGACUCCUACGGGAGGCAGCAGUGGGGAAUAUUGCACAAUGGGCGGAAGCCUGAUGCAGCAACGCCGCGUGCGGGAUGACGGCCUUCGGGUUGUAAACCGCUUUCGCCUGUGACGAAGCGUGAGUGACGGUAAUGGGUAAAGAAGCACCGGCUAACUACGUGCCAGCAGCCGCGGUGAUACGUAGGGUGCGAGCGUUGUCCGGAUUUAUUGGGCGUAAAGGGCUCGUAGGUGGUUGAUCGCGUCGGAAGUGUAAUCUUGGGGCUUAACCCUGAGCGUGCUUUCGAUACGGGUUGACUUGAGGAAGGUAGGGGAGAAUGGAAUUCCUGGUGGAGCGGUGGAAUGCGCAGAUAUCAGGAGGAACACCAGUGGCGAAGGCGGUUCUCUGGGCCUUUCCUGACGCUGAGGAGCGAAAGCGUGGGGAGCGAACAGGCUUAGAUACCCCUGGUAGUCCACGCUGUAAACGGUGGGUACUAGGUGUGGGGUCCAUUCCACGGGUUCCGUGCCGUAGCUAACGCUUUAAGUACCCCGCCUGGGGAGUACGGCCGCAAGGCUAAAACUCAAAGGAAUUGACGGGGCCCCGCACAAGCGGCGGAGCAUGCGGAUUAAUUCGAUGCAACGCGUAGAACCUUACCUGGGUUUGACAUGGAUCGGGAGUGCUCAGAGAUGGGUGUGCCUCUUUUGGGGUCGGUUCACAGGUGGUGCAUGGCUGUCGUCAGCUCGUGUCGUGAGAUGUUGGGUUAAGUCCCGCAACGAGCGCAACCCUUGUUCACUGUUGCCAGCACGUUAUGGUGGGGACUCAGUGGAGACCGCCGGGGUCAACUCGGAGGAAGGUGGGGAUGACGUCAAGUCAUCAUGCCCCUUAUGUCCAGGGCUUCACGCAUGCUACAAUGGCUGGUACAGAGAGUGGCGAGCCUGUGAGGGUGAGCGAAUCUCGGAAAGCCGGUCUCAGUUCGGAUUGGGGUCUGCAACCCGACCUCAUGAAGUCGGAGUCGCUAGUAAUCGCAGAUCAGCAACGCUGCGGUGAAUACGUUCCCGGGGCUUGUACACACCGCCCGUCAAGUCAUGAAAGUUGGUAACACCCGAAGCCGGUGGCCUAACCGUUGUGGGGGAGCCGUCGAAGGUGGGACUGGUGAUUAGG
rnacentral:rRNA from 1 species